UGCCCGCUUUCAGCUUUGAUGCCAAAGGAAAUUGCUGGAUGACAUUGCUGUGCUGCUCGAGGCAGGGCUGGGGGAGUAAGAUUAUUCUCCUGGAUGGCCCAGCUCAAAGGGAAGGUUUCUGUUUGAGGCACAAUCACCUAAGAAAACCGCUCCCUCUCCUUCCACAAAAUCAAAUCGCCCCUCAGUUAGGAGAAAAUGUGCCAGGCGAUCAGGGAAGAUGGAUGCAGCGAGGAACACGUGUGGUGGGGGGACGUGAUGAGCUGACGGCUUGUUUACUGAGAGCAGGAGACCUGCCAAUUUUUCUUGUCUGAGUGCAGGCUUGUUUACAGAGCCCUAAUGCAGGGAGAGGGAUCCUUGAACCCGCAGCUGCUGCCCUGGCACCGCGGAGGCCGUGCGGGGUUUUAGCUAUGCCGCUUUGAGCGAAGUAUUUUUACUUUAGCCUUUGAGAUGUGCCGGAACACUAGCUGGAGAGAGCAGCCUCUUCUGAAGGCAGGCGACUUGGACGCGUUUGUGCCAGGGGUGUUUGACCCUUCCCUGGGGGGGUCUCAAGGACCCCGAGCGAUGGAGGACUCCUCCCCACCUCUAAGAUGCUCACUCGGGGCCCGCCCUGGAUCAGUCUGCGGAGGGUUCU